UAAACGGAAACCGACGACACAUUCUAGGCUCAACCCCAGGGAAUAAACACAUUCUUCAACUGUUCUUCAAGGGUUUCAAAGAGAGAGAACUCUAAGUGGAACUUAUCAGAAAUCUUCACUCAUCGGAUGUCUCCAAUUUUCCAUUUGUAUGUGGAUUUUAAGUUUUGUGUAGUACUUCUCUGCUCUGUGAAAAUUUCCAUCUAGGACAAAAAUAGUGAUAAAGAGGGAAGAACGUCGAUGCCACCUAUGUAUUUGAUGAAAUUCCCCAGUGGAAGAUCUUCAUGGUCAGCGAGUUUGGAUAAACUCCGUAAUGCAAAUUUUGACAUAAGCUGUUCACGAAAGUUGCAGUUUAUGACAUAACGAUUUCGUCCUUAAAAAGUUCUUGCUCUUGCAUGGAUGGGAUUUCCUCUCUAAAGUGGUGAAUUUUAAAAAGCUUGAGGUUUACUGACUGGUGCAAUCAAGGUUUCACCUUUUUGGAACUGAACGGUUUGCUUUUAAUUGGUAUGCUCAUCGCCAAUUGCUGAAGAUAAACAAUGUCGGAAUAAACAUCAACUCGCUCCUCUCCUUGAAAGCAUCUGAAGCUGGAAUUGUAGUCUUCAUUCUAUUGUUGGUCUGGUUCACGUGUCGCCAGCUGGUUCUAUUUAUACAACAGAGAAAGGUAUAUUGACUAUAGGCAUUCUUUCAAUUGGUUUGCUCAAAAGUUACAUUGCCAAUUACUCUAGCUUUACAACAUACCAAAGCCGUUGGGUUCUGUAAAGAGUACAAUCAUUUGCCUGAAGUCAUCCGAUGCUACCUGCACAUACUUGGUCAACAAAAAUAUAAAGUUUCUUCUCAGAGGAAACACAAUGUCUUUUGAGAGUUUGUUAAAUUCUAUGGUAAAUGUUGAUGUUUGCUAUGAUGUUGAUAUUUGUUGAAGAAAUGCUUUUCUACACUUGUAGAAACUGAAGGUUUACUGGCUUGUAUGAUAAGAGGGAGGAAGGAAACUGUCAGUAUGAGUAGAAUGACUUCUGCUUAAAUUCUCAUGUCUUGCUGACUACAACAAAUGCUUGUCCUCACAUUCAUCAGCUGAGGACUAAACCUAUAGAAUGUUGUUCAAGCAGUAGGAGAUAGACUUUGGAAUGAGGAACUACUGGAUAAUGUGACUCCAAGCUGUGAAAAGGGAUUGUGCUGCUGUUCUUUUUGCCGUAAACUUAAACUACGUUCAACUUUAACUACCACUGCUAUGUAAAAAGAACUAAGAAAAUUGAAUAUGAAAGUUGAGCAAGGAAUGACUAAUGUCUUUCUGCUGUCUGCUAUUGUUCUUAUAAUAGGUCGUAUAAGCCCGGGCCAAUCCCAUCUAGUUCUACUUAUAUAGAAGAGCGCAGAAGCAGCUCUCCGUCGACAUCCCUGCUUGCCGACCAAGGGGUAUUUAGUCAUUUCAGUCUAAUUUUGUGUUGAGUUCUCUAUUAUGUCCUUAUAUCUUAUAACGCAUGCUACUUAAAUUAACGAGGGUUGCAUAGUCAUUUUACACCUAUACAAUCUGACAGCACCGCUACACAGCUCAUGUGAUUCUCUCUCUUUAGUAUUCUCAACUUAUUGUCUGCGAUACAAGUUGCAACCCUGUUCCUCCAUGGAUUUUGCCGUACUUUCGCAUUCAUAGCUUAAAUUAAAUCAACUUCCAUUUGUGGAUGCUCUACCAUCUUCUUCACAAGAUAAAUUGGGGUUUGGACUUCUUCGCUGCUCUGUCUUUGUUGCAUCAAGGUAAUCACUUCGUUUCAAUUUACUUCACUGAUCUGUACUAUUUCAUCUCCGCUCUUCUUCUGGUAGGAAUUUUCAUUUUAGAGAAAAAAUCUGUUUGACUUUCCCCUAUUUUGAAUUUGCACAGUUGCUGAAACUCUUAAUAAAUGGGUUUUUGCUGCUUCGUUGGAGCUGAAGAAAGGGGGGGGGGGGGGGGAUUCACAAUGGUGCUUGCUUUGAAUUUUAGUUUUUUUACGGAAAUUUAUUGUGAAUAUUGGUGUGGAUUUAAGGAUUUCUACAGAAAUUUUAUUGUGAAAAUUGGUAUGUAGAAAUUGUUUUUAUUAUUCUUUGUGUCAGGAGGGGAGGUUAGUUACGUUCUUAGGACUCUGUGUGUUGAAGAUUUUUUGGUAUUUGCAUUAAAACAGUGUGUUUCGAUCUCUAAUUUUUGGUACAAUUUUUUCAACUUUAGUGGUAAUGCACUGGUAGGGAAAACCUCAAUCUAUGUUUUAAAUAAUGAAGCUUUAGAAUGCACUCAUUUCCAAGACAGAGAAAAUUGGAUUACUGUGAUGAACACUUUUGUUGGUUAUUGCACAUUGACACAUGUUCACAUAAUAGUAAAUCUGAUAGGGCCAGGGGAAGAGAUGGCUUUCGCUAAUCAUGUUAUAAAAGAAUUAUAUUUUGUUGUUGGUGUUCCACAUGUGCCUUAACUAUCUCCAGAUCUUCUUAUUGAACUACCUUCUCCAAAUGGUUCACAUCAUUAUGGAUUAUGUUUUACCUGUCUUCCCUUGGAUGGACUGCUUUGUCAGUAAAGCAACAAGCAUUUAGCUAUAUAUAAAUGAUCUGCUUCAAAUGAAAGGGCAAAUUAACCAAAGAAUGAGACUUCUAAGAGGAAGAACAACUUGGAAGACCCUGCCAAUUCGCAAAAUAAUUAGCAUUAUGCUAGGAAGGGAUUAAGCUAAUCCACUUGAACUUACUUAGAAAUCUUGAAAUGAAUUAAUUCUAGAAAGGGAUAGAUUUAAGAAAUACUUGUUGCCUUUUGUCCUAAUUUCAGGAAGCUUUCGGGUGCAACACAUUGCUUUUCUUAUAACAAGACAAAUAGUAGGCCUAUCUUGCUUGACUGCGAUAGUACUAAGAUGCCUGACGAUAAGGUGAAUAAAUUCCUUGGUAAAGAAGUCAUCUCAGUUUUGAAUGGUUAUUAUACACAAUAUAACGUUCUACCAUUAGUUUCAAAUUUGGUGUCAUUUUGUUUAAUUUCGAUUCCAGAAAAAAUUUCAAAAGCAUCCUAUGUUUUUGUAGCGUUGAAAAAUGUAAAACAAAUGCAAGUGGGUUUACAAUACUUAAAGAGGAAUGUAUACUAUUGAAAGAACACGAAAGUAAGGAAAAAAAAAAGGAAUUGGUACAGAGCUUCUACAAUAGAUAGUUUUCAUAUAAUUUGGUGGAUGUGGGUAGGGAUUUUACAGUGAGUGGCAGGGGUAAGGAUUCUUUGAGCCACUGGUUAUCUCCAUGUCCAAGACUCGGCUAUCACCUGAACAUGGUUAUUUUAAAAGGAUUACAAUGGGAAUCACACCCAACAGCUACAGACAUGGACUGAAAAGAGCAACAUGACCUAUUAUGGAGCAUUAUACAGAAGCAAGAAAUGGUUAGUCAAUAGAUUGGCAUAGCAUCAUCAAGAACCCGAUCCUGUCUUUGGUAUAUGGCAAGCAAAAGAGCUUCUUCAUCAUUUGGAGAGUGUACUGGAUAAUGAGCUUGUCAACACAUGGUUGAGGUGAAACCACAUGAUUAAGCCGAGGCAUAGUUGUUCGGAGUCUAAUGGCAUCAAUGAAGAGCAGAGGGUAGCGACAACUUUUUUUUCCAUGCAUAAGCGAUGGCAUAUCCGACAAAGACAUGUUUGAGAGAAUUGCAAGUCAUCUAUCAAACCUUUUUUUGCUUGAUAAAGUACAAGUGUUUGCAUCCAAUGUUGAUCAGAAACCAAGUUUGGCCUAAUACUAUCUUAAUGAUAUAGUUGAAGUUACAAAAAUGCUUCAACACCUUUCAAAAGCAACUGCAACAUCAUCAGCUACCGCCUAAAAAGCCAAGUCGUGCAACCUCCCUUAAAUUUGUCAUUGUAUAGUUAGUCAUACUGCUUAUCUACAAAAACUAUUCAAAACUGACAACUCUUUCCGGAAAAACCAUUAGAAAGUAAUUUAAUGGUAGCUAAUAUGAGUUUAGGCUACAAAAUAGUAUUAUUUCAUGACCUUAAGGAAUUCCAUUAUAUGUUUACUUCCUUUUUUAUGCA